rnacentral:rRNA from 1 species
AGAGUUUGAUCAUGGCUCAGAACGAACGCUGGCGGCGUGCUUAACACAUGCAAGUCGAGUGCGCGCCUGUAGCAAUACAGGUGGCGCACGGCGCACGGGUGCGUAACACGUGGGUAACCUGCCCUUUAGUGGGGAAUAACCUCGCGAAAGCGAGGCUAAUUCCGCAUAAGAUCCGCAAGGAUGAAAGCCGUAAGGCGCUGAUGGAGGGGCUCGCGCACGAUUAGCUAGUUGGUAGGGUAAUGGCCUACCAAGGCUAUGAUCGUUAGCUGGUCUGAGAGGAUGGCCAGCCACACUGGGACUGAGACACGGCCCAGACUCCUACGGGAGGCAGCAGUGGGGAAUAUUGGACAAUGGGGGCAACCCUGAUCCAGCGAUGCCGCGUGAGUGAAGAAGGCCUUCGGGUCGUAAAGCUCUUUAGGUUGGGAAGAAGGGCGCGAGGAGAAUAUCUUUGCGUUUUGACGGUACUGACAGAAUAAGCACCGGCAAACUCUGUGCCAGCAGCCGCGGUAAUACAGAGGGUGCGAGCGUUAAUCGGAGUUACUGGGCGUAAAGGGCGCGUAGGCGGUUAUAUAAGUGUGAUGUGAAAGCCCCGGGCUUAACCUGGGAAGGGCAUCGCGGACUGUAUAACUGGAGUAUAUGAGAGGGUGUCGGAAUUUCCGGUGUAGCGGUGAAAUGCGUAGAGAUCGGAAGGAACGUCGAUGGCGAAGGCAGGCACCUGGCAUAAUACUGACGCUGAGGCGCGAAAGCGUGGGUAGCGAACAGGAUUAGAUACCCUAGUAGUCC